AGAGUUUGAUCCUGGCUCAGGACGAACGCUGGCGGCGUGCCUAAUACAUGCAAGUCGAGCGGAUUGAUUCGGAGCUUGCUCCGAAGAUGUUAGCGGCGGACGGGUGAGUAACACGUGGGCAAUCUGCCCGACAGACCGGGAUAACGCUUGGAAACGAGUGCUAAUACCGGAUAGGCUUUUCUCUCGCAUGAGGGGAAAGAGAAAGAAGCUUUCGCUUCACUGUCGGAUGAGCCCGCGGCGCAUUAGCUAGUUGGUGAGGUAACGGCUCACCAAGGCGACGAUGCGUAGCCGACCUGAGAGGGUGACCGGCCACACUGGGACUGGGACACGGCCCAGACUCCUACGGGAGGCAGCAGUAGGGAAUCUUCCACAAUGGGCGCAAGCCUGAUGGAGCAACGCCGCGUGAAUGAUGAAGGCCUU
rnacentral:rRNA from 1 species